AGGAGUGUAGCUCAGAUGGUAGAGCGUCGGUCUCCAAAACCGAAAGUCGCGGGUUCGACCCCUGUCACUCCUGCCA
rnacentral:tRNA from 1 species